rnacentral:tRNA from 1 species
GCUAGUUUAGUAUAAAUUUAGUGCGUGGAAUUGUAGCUUCUAAAGUAAUUUAUUGAUUAACUAGAA